UAACCAGAGUUAUCUCCCGUGACGUUUACCCCACCUGUGAAGAUGAGGACAGACGGUAUGUCACCAAUGUAAUGAACAUGUCAACAACGCAUGAAAAUAGCAGAUGAAAAUGAAAGAUUUGUUCAUAUUAGUGGGUCUCUUUGGCCUUUUUGCUACAGGGUUGGCAUUAGAGUGUUAUGUUUGUAAUAAUCAACCAGAUAAUAAAGAUAAAUGUGUUAAAACAACCAUCCAGUGUCGUGAAGAACAAGAUACAUGUCUUACACGGAUAGUAUGGAGAGCUCCCCAGUUUUGGACACCAAGAAGUGAGAAGAUGCACCAUGUAUAUAAAAGUUGUAGUUCCUCAUCAAAUUGUACUGAAGAACAGUUUGGAUUAAAACUAAGAUGUAUGAGAGAUUGGUAUAAAGAUUGGGAGUGUGUGGAGUGUUGUCAAGGAGACCGAUGCAAUUUUUAUGUCACUCUUGGAUCGACAAACCUAAAGUUCAGUAUAACACUGGUGGCACUAUCACUUACAUUGACUGCAGUUUUUGCUGAACGAUUUGGUGCCUGGAGACUUGCCUGAUUUUUCUGUUCAUACUUUAUCUGUAUAUGUAAAUAAUUUGUACAUAAACAUUCCAUUUUCUAGACAAAUUUUUCAUUUAUAUAAAGCUAUGCAUAAUCACCUUUUAAUUAUGGAACAUUUAACACAUAUUAAAGAUAAAGGCACAUGUAUAUUAACACAUCAAAUGUCAAAAAAAAACCCCAAGAUUCGUGCACAUGUACCAAGGUGUAAGAUAGUUGAGCACAACAAGAAUUAUCGAAAAAUGAUCUUCUAUAUUUUAUUAAAUAUAAAAUUAUUACAGAAGAUAGAUUCCAACAAUAAUCUACACAAAGUAUAUUGUCAUUACAUCAUGCUUCUAGGUUUUAAAUGGAAUACCAAUCUUAUAUAGAUGAACUGAUUUAAUAUUCACAUGUCUAUUGCAAACUUUCCAAGUAUUCAUUAUAUUUAGCUUAUAUACAACUGUACCCAUCUUUUCCCUUCUUCUUGAAUUAAAAGUGCUUUUUUAUUUUUACAUAUAAUUUACAUCAAAAGUGUAUCAAUAUGCAUUCCGAUUUUAUACAUAUUUUAUAUAUUUAACACUUUAAUUGUAUUCAUAUUGAUUUGGACUAUUAUGUAGGGAAAUCUUUUAUAAAUUAACUCUUUCAUCACAACUUUAAAAAUUAUCAUAUUAAUAAUAUUUGGAACUUAACGUGUUAUGAUUAAUAACAAUUUCUGGUGAAAAUUACGGACCACAUAAACAUAGACUGAUGGCUGUGUAUGAACCAAUGUCCAAUUGUCGUGUUUUUAGGUAAUCUAAGGUAUUGGUUGCAAUAUUUAAUUAUCUAUAACAGCAUGAAUUAGAAGAAAUGGAGCGAGUGCUUAUUAUUUUGCCUAAAUCUUUUUUGUUUCAGUUGAUAAUAAAUAAACUAAUAAUCAAUUAAAAUACAUUUUUAUUUUUCAAUAAUGCAAGGAAUGGCGCAUGCCUGGUUCAUUUAAAAAAAAAAAGAAAGAAAUUUAAUGUGGCUUGUAAAAAUUUAUAUUUUCUGUAAUUCAGAAAUAAGAAUUUUAUUUAAAUAUGACUUGUACAGUUUUUCAUACAUUCAGAUUUUUUUAAAGAAAUAAAAAUAUUUUAUUAGCA